rnacentral:rRNA from 1 species
CCUACGGGUGGCAGCAGUAGGGAAUUUUGCGCAAUGGGCGAAAGCCUGACGCAGCAACGCCGCGUGAUCGAGACGCCCUUCGGGGUGUAAAGAUCUGUCAGUGGGGACGAAACUUGACGGUACCAAAAGAGGAAGAACCGGCUAAUCCCGGCCAAGAGGCCGCGGAAAUAAAGGGGGUGCAGGCGUUGCCCGGAUUCAUUGGGCGUAAAGAGUUCGUAGGCGGCACGUAAAGUCUGGUGUUAAAGGCAGGGGCUCAACUUCUGUACGGCACUGGAUACUUGCGAGCUAGAAUGCGGUAGAGGUAAAGGGAAUUCCUGGUGUAGCGGUGAAAUGCUUAGAUAUCAGGAGGAACAUCGGUGGCGUAAGCGCUUUACUGGGCCGUAAUUGACGCUGAGGAACGAAAGCCAGGGUAGCAAAUGGGAUUAGAUACCCCUGUAGUC